UAUAUCCCAGCAGACCUUAAAAGGUUCAACAGGAGCCCCACCCAGUGCUAGAGGCCAAGGUGAAGGUAAAACACUGACUAUAUGGCAGGUCCCCCACUAGAUACUUGAUACACAUUAUCCAACUUAACCCACCAUAGCUCAAUAUUGGACUCUAGGACUCAAAUGCCAAAUUGGCCACAGUGAAUGGAUUCCUACAAAAGGUUAGAUUUUACUAAAGUUAAGGACAAUUUUUUUUGGAGGGGGGAGUGGUUGGUUGUAUCAAGAGCCUUGAUUUGCAAAGUAUGGAAGAAAAAAAACGAGCUUAGGAGUUGAAACCCAUGUAACAUCUUGGGUCAGUUGGUCAAGGUCUCCUAGCCUGCUAUAAAACACCUCUCCUGAGAAGCUCAAGGGGGAUAGUAGAUGCUCAAAAAUCAGUACAUAAUCAUGGUUAAUAGUAUUCCUGAAUCCAGCUACCGUAACAAUAGAAAAGAAUCUACAAGCAUUCCAGGAUCACAUUAAUCCUGUGAUCAUCAUCAGUAAGUCAGUCUCCAUUCAGCAAGGAUGCCUCUUAACGUUUAUCCACCAUUAACAUGAAAAAUAACCCUUAAUAAUCUAUAAUCUGAUUUAUCUUUCCAGAAAUGACAAAGAAUUAUGAAACCUUACUGGUAUUUCCUGAAUGGAAGAGCAGAGAUGAAAAAUGAAUGUGCAUCCAGCCGAAUUCUCAACAGCUUAGAAAUGUUAACAGGAGAGCCGCGCUGCCUAUCAAGAUACAGAUUUCACAGGCCACUAAGAAAAGAAAGAAUUUAAACCACAUCCUCACCUUCUCCAGGCCGAGAUCAUCUUAUGAGAUGAGCACACUCCUGGGCCAUGUUCUUUUUCCUGCUCAAGAACCAUAAACCUUGCAAAUUUCUAAGGUCAGUGUCAAAUUCCUAGCUAGACAUAGAGUUCCAAGAGCUCCAUGUCCUCUUCUAUGAGGACACAAUCUAGUUUUUAGUUCUCAUACUGAUAUUGAAAAAAAAAAUUAAUACUUGUAUUCUUAAAGUUCAUCUGGAAGAAUAAAUUAAUAAGAAAGCAAAAUAAAAAUACUGGAAAAAAGAACUGUAUUGAAUGAAGCUAGCUCUACUACAUAUUAAAACAAUAACAAGUUAUAGUAAUUAAAGAAAUAUGAAAGGGUUUAUAAUUUUGUGAAUGUACAUUAAAGCAUCUAAAAUCAAUGAAAUGAGGAUUUGGACAAUCAGCUACCUAACGAUUUGGAGAAAAAAUAAAGAUCUACCUCAAGCUAUGUCCAAAUAAAUUUCAGAUGGAUUAAAGAUUUAAGUCCUAAAAACUGGGGAAAAGACAAAAUGUUUUAAUAAAGCAUAGACAAGAAGAGAAAUACAGGACUAUGUAGUAAUGUGAAAGUACUUCACCACAAGCCCAUUUAAAGGUAAAUUACAAACUUGAAAACUUCACAUAUAAAUCACUGAGGAUAAAUAUUCAUAUCAUACACUGAAAAGAAGCACUUCCCAACAGAAAAAAU
rnacentral:lncRNA from 1 species